rnacentral:lncRNA from 10 species
AGCGUUUUCAAGAUCUAUUGUUGAUAAUAUAUAAUAUCUUACAAGUUAUUUAAUUCUCUAAUGUAUGGGAAGCAGCGUAGCAUCGUCCUUGCUGUUGCUAUGGUAUUUAUUGCUGUUGAGCCUUCAGGAAACCUCUCUGCAUCUCGGUUUCCUCAUCUAUAAAAUGGAGAUGAUAACUGUACUUACAUCAUGGAGCUGCUAUGAGGAUCAAAGAAGUUAUCAACACUUCAGAAUAUGGCCAGCACAUAGGAACAAUAUAUCUAUUUGCUAAAUCGAAGGGAUAAAAAGAAACCUACUUUGUAUGGAAAAGGAGAAAGAAAAGAGUAAGAUUGAACUAUGCUUUGCUGCAUGGUGGGUUUGAUGAAAGUGGAGUCACGCUGAUUGGUGCUCAAGAUAAAUGUCUUAGGGGAAGACUCAUACCCAGUGGAAUUUUUUUUAGUGAAAUAUCGUGG